GGUAUGAGUAGCGAAAAGAAAGGUGAGAAUCCUUUCCACCGAAAGCAUAAGGAUUCCUGAGCAACGAUCGUCGUCUCAGGGUAAGUCGGGACCUAAUCCGAGGCAGAGAGCGUAGGAGAUGGACAACUGGUUGAUAUUCCAGUACCGGUAGUAAUUGUUUGAGCAAUGGAGUGACACAGAAGGGCAGGCAAGCAUGCGAAUGGAAGAGCAUGUGUAAGCGUGUAGGGUGGUGCAUAGGCAAAUCCGUGCACUGAAAGCCUGAGGCGUGAUGCGGAGUGAGCAGAGAUGCGAGCGAAGUUGUUGACCCCACACUGUCGAGAAAAGCUUCUAGUGAGAGAGCUACCGCCCGUACCGUAAACCGACACAGGUAUGCGGGGAGAGAAUCCUAAGGUGCGCGGGAGAACCCUCGUUAAGGAACUCGGCAAAAUGUACCCGUAACUUCGGGAUAAGGGUAGCCACUGUUGUGAAGUCCCACGCGGAUGGAGCAUAGAGUGGUCGCAGAGAAGAGGCCCAAGCGACUGUUUACCAUAAACACAGGUGCCUGCUAAAGCGAAAGCUGACGUAUAGGUGCUGACACCUGCCCAGUGCCGGAAGGUUAAGGAAGGAUGUUCGGAUUAGUCCAAAGCAUUCGACUGAAGCCCCGGUGAACGGCGGCCGUAACUAUAACGGUCCUAAGGUAGCGAAAUUCCUUGUCGGGUAAGUUCCGACCCGCACGAAAGGUGUAACGAUUUGGGCACUGUCUCAACGAGGGACCCGGUGAAAUUGAAAUACCUGUGAAGAUGCAGGUUACCCGCGACUGGACAGAAAGACCCCAUGGAGCUUUACUGUAACCUGACAUUGGGUUUUGAUACAUUACGUACAGGAUAGGUGGGAGGCUUGGAAAGUUGGACGCUAGUCUGACUGGAGCCGACGUUGGGAUACCACCCUUGAUGUAUUGAAAUUCUAACCGCGAGAGUAACGAAAUCCGGGACAGUGUCAGGCGGGCAGUUUGACUGGGGCGGUCGCCUCCGAAAGAGUAACGGAGGCGCCCAAAGGUUCCCUCAGCGCGGCCGGAAAUCGCGCGAAGAGUGUAAAGGCAGAAGGGAGCUUGACUGCGAGUCAAACACGACGAGCAGGUACGAAAGUAGGGCUUAGUGAUCCGGUGGUACCGAGUGGAAGGGCCAUCGCUCAACGGAUAAAAGCUACCCUGGGGAUAACAGGCUAAUCUCUCCCAAGAGUCCAUAUCGACGGGGAGGUUUGGCACCUCGAUGUCGGCUCAUCACAUCCUGGGGCUGAAGUCGGUCCCAAGGGUUGGGCUGUUCGCCCAUUAAAGUGGUACGUGAGCUGGGUUCAGAACGUCGUGAGACAGUUCGGUCCCUAUCCAUCGCGGGCGCAAGAGAUUUGAAGGGGGCUGCUCCUAGUACGAGAGGACCGGAGUGGACGAACCGCUGGUGUACCAAUUAUCCCGCCAGGGGUACAGUUGGGUAGCUACGUUCGGAAAGGAUAAACGCUGAAAGCAUCUAAGCGUGAAACCAGCCUUAAGAUGAGAUCUCUCAUAGAGCAAUCUAGUAAGACACCUUAAAGAAGAUGAGGUUGAUAGGUCGGGAGUGUAAGUACAGCAAUGUAUUGAGCGGACCGAUACUAAUAUGUCGAGGGCUUGACUUA
rnacentral:rRNA from 1 species